GGAAUAUUGCCCAAUGGACGAAAGUCUGAGGCAGCAACGCCGCGUGCACGAUGAAGGCCUUCGGUCGUAAAGUGCUUUCUGGGGAGAUGAGAAAAGGACAGUAUCCCAGGAAUAAGCCCCGGCUAACUCCGUGCCAGCAGCCGCGGUAAUACGGGGGGGGCAAGCGUUGUUCGGAAUUACUGGGCGUAAAGGGCUCGUAGGCGGCCGACUAAGUCAGACGUGAAAUCCCUCGGCUUAACCGGGGAACUGCGUCUGAUACUGGUUGGCUUGAAUCCGGGAGAGGGAUGCGGAAUUCCAGGUGUAGCGGUGAAAUGCGUAGAUAUCUGGAGGAACACCGGUGGCGAAGGCGGCAUCCUGGACCGGCAUUGACGCUGAGGAGCGAAAGCCAGGGGAGCAAACGGGAUUAGAUACCCCGGUAGUCUUGGCCCUAAACGAUGAAUGCUUGGUGUGGCGGGUAUCGAUNCCCUGCCGUGCCGAAGCUAACGCAUAAGCAUUCCGCC
rnacentral:rRNA from 1 species